rnacentral:misc_RNA from 1 species
AAAAUCGGCAUCUUCUUGAGGUAGAUAGAGCUCUUCUUUUCCAAAUGAAUGUUUCUAAAUAUUUUGGGGCCAAUGCCGUCUCUACAACAUGCUUUUUGAUUAAUCGUACGCCAUCUUCUCUCCUUGAUGGGGACAUUCCUUAUACUGUUUUGUUUCCGUCUAAAUCUUUAUUUCUUGUUGAACCUCAUAUUUUUGGAUAUACUUGUUUUGUGCAUGAUAUUCGUCCACAGGUUUCCAAAUUGGAUCCAAAGUCUCUUAAA